GGAGAGGUACCGAAGCGGUCAUAACGGCGCCGCCUCGAAAGCGGAUGGCUUAAUAGGCACGUGGGUUCGAAUCCCACCCUCUCCGCCA
rnacentral:tRNA from 2 species